GACGGGGGGGGCAAGUGUUCUUCGGAAUGACUGGGCGUCACGGGCACGUAGGCGGUGAAUCGGGUUGAAAGUGAAAGUCGCCAAAAAGUGGCGGAAUGCUCUCGAAACCAAUUCACUUGAGUGGGACAGAGGAGAGUGGAAUUUCGUGUGUAGGGGUGAAAUCCGUAGAUCUACGAAGGAAGGCCAAAAGCGAAGGCAGCUCUCUGGGUCCCUACCGACGCUGGGGUGCGAAAGCAUGGGGAGCGAACAGG
rnacentral:rRNA from 1 species